CAGUAGCCACGGUAAAACGGAGGGUGCAAGCGUUACUCGGAAUCACUGGGCGUAAAGGACGCGUAGGCGGAUUAUCAAGUCUCCUGUGAAAUCUAACGGCUUAACCGUUAAACUGCUUGGGAAACUGAUAAUCUAGAGUAAGGGAGAGGCAGAUGGAAUUCUUGGUGUAGGGGCAAAAUCCGUAGAGAUCAAGAAGAAUACCCAUUGCGAAAGCGAUCUGCUGGAACUUAACUGACGCUAAUGCGUGAAAGCGUGGGGAGCAAACAGGAUUAGAUACCCGCGUAGUCCCUGUCUCUUAUAC
rnacentral:rRNA from 1 species